GUCUUGCACGGGCUUUUUUAAACUUUAAAAAAAAUUCUAAAGUUUGAACUUUUUUUUUUUUAAAUUUGUUAAUUUCUCUUUUUGAAUGAAAAUGUCAUUGAAUAUUAAGCAUUUUGUGAAUUGCACUAAAAUAGUAUGUUAGAAAGCGAUUAACUGUUUAAAAUGCUUAAUUACUUAAGUAAUUAAAACACUGCCGUAAAUGAGUUGGAUAAUACUUAAAACUAAGAUUUCAAUAAUUGUUUUUCAAAGUUUUCACUUGCACAGAUAUAAUUUCGUUUCACGUGGAUAAUAUCUGGCAGAUAUAGUCAAACGAAUGAACGUGAAAACGACGG